GCAGGCGCUGGCUGUACCCGCCCGAGCUUUCUGGCCCCGCCUGCUGUGGGAUUGGCUCAACUGGCCGCCUUUCCCGGGCCUGUGUUGUUUUAGCUCAUCUGUUCUGGCACUUGUUCGCCUCUCGCAGUCGGCCUGAACCUGGCGAUGUCAAGCCAAGUUCUGUCUCUGGUCGAAAGUAAAUACCGGUAUUUCCAGGAUGCUGCGGGUAUGCGCCAGCAGACUCAAAGCCCUGAUGCCUGCCCUCUCUCCGCAGUGUCUCUGCACUGGUCCUCUUGCCACAGCCGGAGCACCCCAGAGGCUGGAUUGAAUCGGAAAGCGAGCGGUAGGAGAAAGGGAGGUAAUAGCGCCCUUCUCCAGAAGAUGAAACAGGUCGGAGAGAAAGGUUCAAGGACCUUGUGGAGGUCACACAACUAGAGGCAGUUCCUUGGCUGAUAGAUCUAAUGCCAAACCCUCGUUAUUGCCAGCGCUGUGCAAUGCCUGAGACCUUGAAUGAGGCCUGACCGUCUCUAAGCCUCAGUCCCCACGUUUCAAAAUGCAGCCAACAUCAGUACCUGUCCUAUAGCGAUAAAAAAGGACAAAAUAGGACUUGGGAAGAAAAGCGAAAGUGCGCUGAGUUUGUGUCGGGGCACAGGACUGUCAUGGCUCUUGACUUCUCUGGUCCCCUAGGGAUGUGCUUUUGGCUGGCUGGAAAGUAGCUCUAGAUCCUUGUAGUAAUUGCCAAGUCUCAUGAGGCUGUCCCAAGGCUAAUUUACUAGCUUUCACAGGGUAGGUCAACAGUGUGCAACUUAACGAAUCCCCAGGGCCACCCAAAGAGUGGAGCGGGAGAGUGCCCUAGAUUGGCUAGGAGAAGCACAAAGGAAAGCUAACUAUUUUGGUAGAUUCCACCGCUAUUUUUAACCUCCAGAAACAACCAUUUCAUAUGGCUUGACUUAAUAUUUAAUCCUCCUGACCUCCCAGUGAAGCACUGUAACUCCCAUUAAGCAAAUGAGAAUUAGAUUUGGUCAAGUUCACCAGUAAAGUGGUAAACCUACAAUUUGAACCCAGCUCUCUGUGGAUUCUGAAGAGACGGUUUUUCUCAUAGUUGUCUGUUAAGUUGAUGGAGACCUCACCAAGGGCCAAAGAAAAUGUGAUCAAAACCCUCUAAUGUCACAAAAUCUCUAGGAACUUGUAGGGAAAGGGUCUGAGUGCCCUCAUCCAUGACACUCCUGGGUCUCAUAUCGUGGCAAUCUAGCUAACUGGCAUAUGGUUGAAUAUGGGCCCUGAAUACAGAUAAUUUGCUCUGCCAUUUACUGAUGAUAUCACCCUUAUGGCAGAAAGCAAAGAGGAACUAAAGAGCCUCUUGAUGAAAAUGAGAGAGUGAAAAAGCUGGCUUAAAACUCAACAUUCGAAGAUCAUGGCAUCCAGUUCCAUCACUACAUGGCAAAUAGAUGGGGAAACAAUGGAAACAGUGACAGACUUUAUUUUCUUGGGCUCCAAAAUCACUGCAGAUGGUGACUGCAGCCAUGAAAUUAAAAGAUAUUUGCUCCUUGGAAGAAAAGCUCUGACCAACCUAGACAGCACAUUAAAAAGCAGAGACAUUGCUUUGCUGACAAAGAUCUGUCUAGUCAAAGCUAUGUUUUUUCCAGUAGUCAUGUAUGGCUGUGAGAGUUGGACUAUAAAGAAGGCUGAAUGCCGAAGAACUGAUGCUUUUGAACUGUGGUGUUGGAGAAGACUCUUGAGAGUCCCUUGGAUUUCAAGGAGAUCAAACCAGUCAAUCCUAAAGGAAAUCAAUCCUGAAUAUUUUUUGGAGGGACUGAUUUGGGAUCUGAAACUCCAGUAUUUUGGCCACCUGAUGUGAAGAACUGACUCGUUGGAAAAGACCCUGAUGCUGGGAAAGAUUGAAGGCAGGAGGAGAAGGGGACGACAGAGGAUAAGAUGGUUGGAUGGCAUCACUGACUUGAUGGACAUGAGUUUGAACAAACUCAGGGAGAUAGUGAAGGACAGGGAAGCAUGGCGUCCAUGGGGUCACAAAGAAUCAGACAUGACUGAGCAACUGAACUGAACUGAUACAAAAUUUUGUAUAUUGAUUUUGUAUCCUGCUACUUUACAGAAUUUGUUCAUUAGUUCUAUACUUUCUUUGAUGGAGUCUUUCAGGUUUUCUAUGUAAUAUGUCAUUUGCAAAUAGUGACAGUUUCACUUCUUCCUUCUGGGUGCCUUUUAUUUUUCUUGCCUAACUGCUCUGACUAGGACUUCCAAUACUAUGUUGAAUAAAAGUGAUGAGAGUAGGCAUCCUUGUCUUGUUCCUGAUAUUAGAAGAAAGCUUUUAGCUUUCAUUAUUGGGUAUGAUAUUAACUAUGAACUUAUCAUACAUGGCCUUUAUUAUGUUGAGGUACAUUUCCUCUAUACCCACUUAUUUUUGUUUUUUAAUCAUAAGUGAAUGUUGAAAUUUUCGGGGGGGAUGUUGAAUUUUGUCCUAUGAUUUUUCUGCAUCUAUAAAUGAUCAUGCAGUUUUCAUCCUUUAUUAUGUUAAUGUGAUGUACAAUAAGUCCCCUACAUAUGAACGAAUUCUGUUCUGAGAAUGCUUUUGUAAGUACAAUCUGUUCAUAAGUCCAACAAAGUUAGCCUAGGUCCCCAACUAGCACACUUAGCUAUAUAAUACUGUACUGUAAUACAGGGGUCCCUAAUCUCCAGGAUCUAAUGCCUGAUGAUCUGAGGUGGAGCUGAUGUAAUAACAGAAAUGAAGUUCACAAUAAAUGUAAUGCACCUGAAUCAUUCCAAAACCACCACUCCACUCCCAGUUCAUGAAAAAAUUGUCUUCCAUAAAACUGGUCCCUGGUGCCAAAAAGGUUGCGGACUGCUACACAGGUUUGUAAUACUUUUCACACAAAUAAUACAUAAACACACACACACACACACACACACACACACACAAACAUUUUAAAUCUUACAAUACAGUACCUUGAAAAGUAUGCCAGACAUGUGAAGUAAUUUACUGACUGGCCAUGCGACUGCAUGUUCGCAUCUUUGAAAGUGUGCAACUUCAAGGUUCAUAUGUAGGGAAUUUUCUGUAUUCUGUUGAUUGAUUUGUGGGUAUUGAUUGAUUUGUGGAUACUGAACCAUCUUUGCAUUCCUGAAAUAAAUCCCACUUGAUAAUGUUGUAUGAUCUUUUCAAUA